rnacentral:rRNA from 1 species
CUGCGUACCUUUUGUAUAAUGGGUCAGCGACUUAUAUUCUGUAGCAAGGUUAACCGAAUAGGGGAGCCGAAGGGAAACCGAGUCUUAACUGGGCGUUAAGUUGCAGGGUAUAGACCCGAAACCCGGUGAUCUAGCCAUGGGCAGGUUGAAGGUUGGGUAACACUAACUGGAGGACCGAACCGACUAAUGUUGAAAAAUUAGCGGAUGACUUGUGGCUGGGGGUGAAAGGCCAAUCAAACCGGGAGAUAGCUGGUUCUCCCCGAAAGCUAUUUAGGUAGCGCCUCGUGAAUUCAUCUCCGGGGGUAGAGCACUGUUUCGGCAAGGGGGUCAUCCCGACUUACCAACCCGAUGCAAACUGCGAAUACCGGAGAAUGUUAUCACGGGAGACACACGGCGGGUGCUAACGUCCGUCGUGAAGAGGGAAACAACCCAGACCGCCAGCUAAGGUCCCAAAGUCAUGGUUAAGUGGGAAACGAUGUGGGAAGGCCCAGACAGCCAGGAUGUUGGCUUAGAAGCAGCCAUCAUUUAAAGAAAGCGUAAUAGCUCACUGGUCGAGUCGGCCUGCGCGGAAGAUGUAACGGGGCUAAACCAUGCACCGAAGCUGCGGCAGCGACGCUUAUGCGUUGUUGGGUA